GAUUGCCUACGGGGCGCAGCAGUGGGGAAUAUUGCACAAUGGGGGAAACCCUGAUGCAGCGACGCCGCGUGAGCGAUGAAGUAUUUCGGUAUGUAAAGCUCUCUCAGCAGGGAAGAAAAUGACGGUACCUGACUAAGAAGCCCCGGCUAACUACGUGCCAGCAGCCGCGGUAAUACGUAGGGGGCGAGCGUUAUCCGGAUUUACUGGGUGUAAAGGGAGCGUAGACCGCCGUUCAAGCCAGAUGUGAAAGCCCAGGGCUCAACCCCGGGACUGCAUUUGGAACUGUGCGGCUAGAGUGUCGGAGG
rnacentral:rRNA from 1 species